rnacentral:misc_RNA from 1 species
GAUGAAGAACGCAGCGAAAUGCGAUAAGUAAUGUGAAUUGCAGAAUUCAGUGAAUCAUCGAAUCUUUGAACGCACAUUGCGCCCGUCAGUAUUCUGGCGGGCAUGCCUGUUCGAGCGUCAUUACGCCCCUCAAGUCCCCUGUGGACUUGGUGUUGGGGAUCGGCGAGGCUGGUUUUCCAGCACAGCCGUCCCUUAAAUUAAUUGGCGGUCUCGCCGUGGCCCUCCUCUGCGCAGUAGUAAAACACUCGCAACAGGAGCCCGGCGCGGUCCACUGCCGUAAAACCCCCCCAACUUUUUAUAGUUGACCUCGAAUCAGGUAGGACUACCCGCUGAACUUAAGCAUAUCAAUAAGCGGAGGA